rnacentral:rRNA from 1 species
CAGUCGCCGCGGUAAUACGUAGGUGGCAAGCGUUGUCCGGAAUUAUUGGGCGUAAAGGGCUCGCAGGCGGUUUCUUAAAUCUGAUGUGAAAGCCCCCGGCUCAACCGGGGAGGGUCAUUGGAAACUGGGAAACUUGAGUGCAGAAGAGGAGAGUGGAAUUCCACGUGUAGCGGUGAAAUGCGUAGAGAUGUGGAGGAACACCAGUGGCGAAGGCGACUCUCUGGUCUGUAACUGACGCUGAGGAGCGAAAGCGUGGGGAGCGAACAGGAUUAGAGACCCCAGUAGUCCCUGUCUCUUAUAC